rnacentral:rRNA from 1 species
GACGAACGCUGGCGGCGUGCUUAACACAUGCAAGUCGAACGGAAAGGCCCUGCUUUUGUGGGGUGCUCGAGUGGCGAACGGGUGAGUAACACGUGAGUAACCUGCCCUUGACUUUGGGAUAACUUCAGGAAACUGGGGCUAAUACCGGAUAGGAGCUCCUGCUGCAUGGUGGGGGUUGGAAAGUUUCGGCGGUUGGGGAUGGACUCGCGGCUUAUCAGCCUGUUGGUGGGGUAGUGGCUUACCUAGGCUUUGACGGGUAGCCGGCCUGAGAGGGUGACCGGCCACAUUGGGACCUAGAUACGUCGCAGACUGCUACGGGAGGCAACAGUGGGGAUUAUUGCACAAUGGGCCGAAGCCUUAUGCAGCAACCCCGCGUGCGGGAUGACGUCCUUCGGGUUCUAAACCGCUUUCGCCUGUGACGAAGCGUGAGUGACGGUAAUGGGUAAAGAAGCACCAGCUAACUACGUG